ACAUGCAGUCGACGGCAGCACGGGGGCAACCCUGGUGGCGAGUGGCGAACGGGUGAGUAAUACAUCGGAACGUGUCCUGUAGUGGGGGAUAGCCCGGCGAAAGCCGGAUUAAUACCGCAUACGCUCUACGGAGGAAAGGGGGGGAUCUUAGGACCUCUCGCUACAGGGGCGGCCGAUGGCAGAUUAGCUAGUUGGUGGGGUAAAGGCCUACCAAGGCGACGAUCUGUAGCUGGUCUGAGAGGACGACCAGCCACACUGGGACUGAGACACGGCCCAGACUCCUACGGGAGGCAGCAGUGGGGAAUUUUGGACAAUGGGCGCAAGCCUGAUCCAGCAAUGCCGCGUGUGUGAAGAAGGCCUUCGGGUUGUAAAGCACUUUUGUCCGGAAAGAAAACCUCUGGGUUAAUACCCCGGGGGGAUGACGGUACCGGAAGAAUAAGCACCGGCUAA
rnacentral:rRNA from 2 species